rnacentral:ncRNA from 1 species
ACAAACACAGUAAUAAGGAAAGUAGAACUUACACUGCUGACACAGAGAGUCUUCGGAUGCUGAAAGAAGACACAGAAAGAAAGUUUGAAAAUGGCCUUUGAGUGUUGAUGCCAAUAUGAGGUGUCACCGGGCGCGCCCGUUAUAGCGCUACAGUAUUAACAUUUGUUAAAUGCCGUACUGGAAUCAUUCGAUACGUCGUCAAUUUCGUUAAUACUCAUUUUAUACAUUAUAAGGUGAGCUUUUUUUAUACGAUUUUUACUUGUCGCAGGCAUUCCAAUUCAAAUUUUCUAUUUAACAGAUCGCGUACUGGAUAAGGUUAUUUUAGCAAUAAAAUAACAAAUUAAGGUGGUACCACGAAGCAAGCUUUCGUCCUUUAC